CAGCCGCCGCGGUAAUACGAAGGGUGCAAGCGUUAAUCGGAAUUACUGGGCGUAAAGCGUGCGUAGGCGGUGAGUUAAGUCUGCUGUGAAAUCCCCGGGCUCAACCUGGGAAUGGCAGUGGAUACUGGCUCGCUAGAGUGUGUCAGAGGAUGGUGGAAUUCCCGGUGUAGCGGUGAAAUGCGUAGAGAUCGGGAGGAACAUCAGUGGCGAAGGCGGCCAUCUAGGACAACACUGACGCUGAGGCACGAAAGCGUGGGGAGCAAACAGGAUUAGAUACCCCGGUAGUCCCUGUCUCUUAUAC
rnacentral:rRNA from 1 species